UAGGGAAUCUUCGGCAAUGGACGAAAGUCUGACCGAGCAACGCCGCGUGAGUGAAGAAGGUUUUCGGAUCGUAAAACUCUGUUGUUAGAGAAGAACAAGGACGUUAGUAACUGAACGUCCCCUGACGGUAUCUAACCAGAAAGCCACGGCUAACUACGUGCCAGCAGCCGCGGUAAUACGUAGGUGGCAAGCGUUGUCCGGAUUUAUUGGGCGUAAAGCGAGCGCAGGCGGUUUCUUAAGUCUGAUGUGAAAGCCCCCGGCUCAACCGGGGAGGGUCAUUGGAAACUGGGAGGCUUGAGUGCAGAAGAGGAGAGUGGAAUUCCAUGUGUAGCGAUGAAAUGCGUAGAUAUAUGGAGGAACACCAGUGGCGAAGGCGGCUCUCUGGUCUGUAACUGACGCUGAGGCUCGAAAGCGUGGGGAGCAAACAGG
rnacentral:rRNA from 1 species